rnacentral:rRNA from 1 species
AUUGAACGCUGGCGGCAGGCCUAACACAUGCAAGUCGAACGAGUGGCGGACGGGUGAGUAAUGCCUGGGAAACUGCCUUAUGGAGGGGGAUAACUACUGGAAACGGUAGCUAAUACCGCGUACCAUAGGAUGAGCCCAGAUGGGAUUAGCUAGUUGGUGGGGUAAAGGCUCACCAAGCCGACGAUCUCUAGCUGGUCUGAGAGGAUGACCAGCCACACUGGGACUGAGACACGGACCAGACUCCUACGGGAGGCAGCAGUGGGGAAUAUUGCGCAAUGGGGGCAACCCUGACGCAGCCAUGCCGCGUGAAUGAAGAAGGCCUUCGGGUUGUAAAGUACUUUCGGCAGGGAGGCGUUACCCACAGAAGAAGCACCGGCUAACUCCGUGCCAGCGGCCGCGGUAAUUC